CCUACGGGGGGCAGCAGUGGGGAAUAUUGCACAAUGGGGGAAACCCUGAUGCAGCGACGCCGCGUGAAGGAAGAAGGCUUUCGGGAUGUAAACUUCUAUCAGCAGGGAAGAAAAUGACGGUACCUUACUAAGAAGCACAGGCUAACUACGUGCCAGCCGCCGCGGCAAGAUGUAGGGGGCAAGCGUUAUCCGGAUUUACGUGGUGUAAAGUGAGCGUCGCCGGUUUUGGAGUUCAUAGGUGAAAGCCCGGGGCUCAACUCCUGUAUUGCUUUUGAAACGGUGUAACUAGAUUGCAGGAGAGGUAAGUGGAACUCCUGGUGUAGCGGUGAAAUGCGCAGAUAUUAGGAGGAACACCAGUGGCGAAGGCGGCUUACUGGACUGUAAAUGACGCUGAGGCUCGAAAGCGUGGGGAGCAAACAGGAUUAGAUACCCUAGUAGUC
rnacentral:rRNA from 1 species